CGGCUUUAUAAUUUUUGUUGAAAAAUACCCCAUCGCUCCCAACUGAUGAAAACAGGAAGCUCUAUUCAUAAACAUGAAAUUCUCUGCCUAUGAUAUAUAAUCAUCCUAAUAAGAAAAUGAGUUCUAUACAUACUUGUCCAAAGGGGCAAAAAAGGAGAUAGUUUCCCAAAGAUGUUUCCAAUUUUCUUCUGAAUCAGAAUUAGCAAAUCGAGACGACUAACAUACUCUGUCUGUGUGCAUUAUUCCUUACUACACACAGCAUUUUGUAAUUUAUUUCAAAGCUUCCAUUAUAAACAAAAAAUACAGCUUCUGUUAACCCACUCCAUUCUGAGCUUAUAAAGUCAAUAACAUUGAACAAUCUAAGUUACAACAUAAGAAUUUUACUUUAUAGAUGUAUAUGUAAGAUUUGCUGUCAAAGACUCUGUUAAAGUUAACAUCCAAAUAAACUAUCCAAAGAAUUAUAUAAAAUGAAUACAUUUCUUUGAAAAAUAAAAAUUACAAGCAUAAAAAACACUAAGAUUCAUCCAAUAAAGUAUGUUACAAUUACUGCCAUUCAUUUUUUGUAAGAUCCUCAAACUGGUAUUGAGAUACAAAAGAUACUAAUUACAUUUAAUACGAAAGAUACUAAUUACAUUUAAUCUUUACUGUAGGAGCCGGCAUCUAAUAUUGAUCAUACAUUAACUAGAGAGACACGAUUUAGUAUUUGUAAAGGAAUCUCAAGACUAACACUUUCAUGACAGCCAAUUACAGUCAAGCCCGGCAAGCAGUUUGCAACCAGACCUUAAGAAAGGUAAACUUUUUUACAAUGAGUUACAGAUUCACAAGUUUAAAAAGACAAGAAAAAGAAAAACAGAAGGACUCAAAUCACCCAGCAAAUAUGAAGCAGACCCCAGAAUGUGAUACAAUCCAAAGAUGUAAAUUAUUGUAAAUCAUCACUGUUGUUCAGAAUUUCACACAGCCUCUUGAGCCAAUUUUGUUCUUUUCCACAGACACAAUAAUGAACUAAAUAAAAGGAGGCAAAAAAGAAAAAAAAAAAGUGGGGGUAGGGGAACAGAAAGGAAAACCUUAACUGCAGAGUUCAGCUCUACAAAUGCUUAACCUUACAGGAGUUUGGGCUCCUUCAGCAUUUGUAUUCUAUCCAAAUCCUCAUGAGUCACAAAAAUUAAAAAGCUAUAUCCUUCUGGAUGCCAGGAAGGGCCUUACCACAAGCCUUUUGUCAGGGAGAGAGAGGGAGACAGUGAGAGAGAGAGAGAGAGAGAGAGAGAGAGAGAGCAAGAGCAAGGGGGGAAAAGCCACAGUGGUAGGCAGUCCCACUUCACUUGGAGUACUGUGAGGUCACAAACCACAUGAUUCUGUCUCUCCAGUAAUAGUGCUUGCAAAAAAAAGGAGUUUUAAAGCUUUUGCUUUUUUGGAUUGUGUGAAUGCUUCAUUCGCCUCACAAACAACCACAGAACCACAAGUGCGGUGCAAACUUUCUCCAGGAGGACAGCAAGAAGUCUCUGGUUUUUAAAUGGUUAAUCUCCGCAGGUCACUACCAGCCACCGAGACCAACAGAGUCAUUUAAGGCUGCAAGCAGAAUUUACAACAGAGGGUACAAGUUCUGUCUGAAAAAAAAAGGAGGGACUAUGGCAUCAAACAGCCUCUUCAGCACAGUGACACCAUGUCAGCAAAACUUCUUUUGGGGUGAGGAAACUGAAGUCCAGAGGGGUUUCUUGAACUGCCCAAGGACACAUCACUAUUUAGUGAUACAGCUGGGACUAAAACUGAGUUCCCCUGACUCCCGUCCAGAGUUCUUUCUACUAUCCCACAAGGAACAUACAAAUAAAAGUUGAUCCUAAUUAACUCACAAGACCUCCACAAUGUGUUUGUCAUAGUGAACUUUGUUGUGAAAUAUCUGCCUAUGCCGACUCACAGUUUCGCAGUAAAUGGCUAAACUGUGUCAUUUAUAUUCAUAUAAUAUUUUGCAUUUAUAAAGUGCACUCACAUAAAUUAUUCCAAUGUAUGCCCUAGGAAUUCAAUGAACACACUAUUUUUUUUUCAGCAACUACUACAUACCAUAUGCCAGGCAGCGUGCCAUCUUCAUACUCAUUACCUUAUUCAGCCUUCAAUAUCCAUUCACUAUCAGCCAGAUACUAUCAGAGGCAGUAAUACAAUGCAAAAAAAACCAACAGACCCAUUCCAGAAAGUGAGCACCUCAUCAGUAUCACCUAGUAAGGGGGAAUGACAUGUCUGGAUAAAUAAAUGAGAUACAGCAUUUAGCACAGGAGAUGGAACACAUCAAAUGCCCAUGAAAAUGGUGGACCUCCCUUAGCAGUAGUAUGCAGUUGUUUAGUGUAGAAAAUAUAUUGCAACCAGAUCAGUAAAGCGCCAUUACCAAGAACUAUAGUAUUGUUAAAGAGAGCAACCUCGGGUAGAGCCUAUUAUACUCUAUGCUGUUUUACAAAUAAAAUUUACAACAACUUUUGCAGAUUUACGAUUAGUCUUUACUAGAGGUAGUAGGUGGAAAAGUUGAGGCAAAACCAAUUAAAAUAAAAUGUCUUUGUAAAGUAAGACAAUCUAUGUAAUUCUCCUCUAUGGUAUUCAACAAUCCUGUGGGAAGGCUGGAAUGAGGUGAAAUACAAAUUCCAUUUUACAGAUGAGGAAACUGAGGCUCAGAGAAGUUAAACACCUUCACUGGAAUCACAAAGAAUAUGGUAGAAAAGGGAGAAACCUAGGUUUGCAGAAUUAGUCUCAAGUACUCUUUGCACCUAUCCACAAUGCAUCCCAGAACAUCAACAUCUCUUCCAGAUAUGUUAUUCAAUAAACUUAAGGCUAAAACAGCUAAUAUUUAUUGGGCACUGACUUAUAUGCUUUGCUGUAUCCAACACUGCACCCAACACAUCACAUGGAUUAUCUCAUUUAAUCCUCAGCAGAGUGAGAACUCAAACCAAGUGUGUUUGACUCUCAAUAAAAUAUUUUACCUACCACAGUAUAAGUUAAAUUAACACAAUAAGGCAUUUGGCUACAUUAUUUUUCUUUAUUAUAGAACAAUAAGCAAAAUCCUUCCUGUACAUGCUAAAUAAUAACAGACAGAUUUCUGGCUGACUUCACUAUUCAACUUAACCAUAAAAUAAAAUGGGUAUUAUUUUCAACAA